CGCAGCGACCCGGGAGAGCGUCACAGCAGUGUGACCGCCGAAGGAGCAACACCUCUCCGUCAAACUCUCAGGCACCCAGGACCGUGUCGUCGUC
rnacentral:ncRNA from 2 species